rnacentral:rRNA from 1 species
AGGAUAAACGCUGGCGGCGUGCAUGAGACAUGCAAGUCGAACGGACGAUCAGGGCUUGCUCUGAUCGUUAGUGGCGGACGGCUGAGUAACGCGUAGGUGACCUGCCCCGAAGUGGGGAAUAACUGCCCGAAAGGGUGGCUAAUACCGCAUGUGGUGGUGUGUUCAUUCACACCAGUAAAGCCGCAAGGCGCUUCGGGAGGGGCCUGCGUCCGAUUAGCUCGUUGGUGGGGUAACGGCUCACCAAGGCGACGAUCGGUAGGUGGUCUGAGAGGACGAUCACCCAGACUGGGACUGAGACACGGCCCAGACUCCUACGGGAGGCAGCAGUCGGGAAUUUUGCGCAAUGGACGAAAGUCUGACGCAGCAACGCCGCGUGAUGGAUGAAGGCCUUCGGGUUGUAAACCUCUUUUAUCAGGGAAGAUAAUGACGGUACCUGAUGAAUAAGUCACGGCUAACUACGCGCCAGCAGCCGCGGU